rnacentral:piRNA from 1 species
CCACUGUCUCCUACUGUGGGCCUAUUAC